GAGCACGUAGGUGGGUUUGUCAGUCAGGUGUGAAAGCCCCCGGCUCAACCGGGGAACUGCAUCUGAUACUGCCAGGCUCGAGGACGGUUGGGGUGAGUGGAACUCCUGGUGGAGCGGUGAAAUGCGUAGAUAUCAGGAGGAACACCAGUGGCGAAAGCGACUCACUGGACCGUUACUGACGCUGAGGUGCGAAAGCCAGGGGAGCGAACGGGAUUAGAUACCCCGGUAGUCCUGGCCGUAAACGAUGGGCACUAAGUAGAGGGGUUUU
rnacentral:rRNA from 1 species